UGGGUUUAUAUUAUCAAAUUUUAAAAAAUUAUGUAUAGUGUUUGUACUGGCUGUAUGCAUGCUAAAAGAGGGCAUUAGAUUUCAUUACAGAUGGCUAUGAAUCCAUGUGGUUGCUGAGAAUUGAACUCAGGACUCUGGGUCAGAGCAGCCCAUGCUUUUAACCUCUGAGCCAUCUCUGCAGCCUUUAUAUUAUCAGUUUUUAAAACUUUGCCAAUCUAGGAGCUGGAGAGAAGACUCAAUAGUCAGGAGCACUUGCUGCCCUUAUAAAGGACCUUUGUUUGAGUCCCAGUGCCCACAUCAUGUCAGGUCAUUCACAACUGCCUGGUACUUCCUUUGCUUCAGAGGAAGCUGGUACCUCUGCUGUCCUUGGGCACCUGGCAGUCAUGUAUACUCCACUCCCAGAGAUGUAAGUUACUUUCAAUCCCAGUGCUCUGGUGACAAGAUCAGUAGUUCCUGAAUAUCCGGAGUUAUAUUAAGAGAACAUGGCUCAAAAACAGAAUUAAAACCAUCUUUCUUG
rnacentral:lncRNA from 1 species